rnacentral:lncRNA from 1 species
ACGUAGAAGCAAGGAAGAAUGGAAGGACUAGAUCAAAUGAAAGAAGGAUCCGAUGGCCACAAAUCCGGGUGACAAAAAGGAAAAAAUUGCCCAAGCAACGUACAAAUUUAACCAAAGUUUUUCAUCCGUCCAGGGCACACCGCCACCACAUCUCAGCCCACUUUUUAUCGAAUGCUUCGUUCAGAUUUUUGUUUUUUCUUUUGGAGAGUCUCAGGAUUUCGG